UACGUAGGGUGCAAGCGUUGUCCGGAAUUAUUGGGCGUAAAGAGCUCGUAGGCGGUCUGUUGCGUCGGCUGUGAAAUCCCGAGGCUCAACCUCGGGUCUGCAGUCGAUACGAGCAAACUAGAGUGUUGCAGGGGAGACUGGAAUUCCUGGUGUAGCGGUGAAAUGCGCAGAUAUCAGGAGGAACACCGGUGGCGAAGGCGGGUCUCUGGGCAACAACUGACGCUGAGGAGCGAAAGCGUGGGGAGCGAACAGG
rnacentral:rRNA from 1 species